AUUUGGUUUAGGGGGGACAUUUCUAAGUGGGGAUUUCCAUGUUGAGUGUUUGUGAAGCUUUAGAGCACAGUAGCGACUUACCUGUAUGCCUGUCUGAGAGAGAGAACAUCAGGAAUGUUGUCAGUGAACCUGGAAGGGUUUCUUAGAGGGCUAGGCUGUUAUAGGCGACUCUUAAAGCAACAAGGGAUAAAAGUGUCUAAAAUGAGGACCAUAGUUGUGGCAGAGUCUUCAAAUGUUAGGUCUCCUCUUGAGAAUGCAAUUUAUGUUGGUCAUUGACUUCUUUUUUUUUCUUUUUUCUUUUUUUCAGAGCUGGGGACCGAACCCAGGGCCUUCCGCUUGCCAGGCAAGCGCUCUACCACUGAGCUAAAUCCCCAACCCCUGGUCAUUGACUUCUUAUCACAUAGGCAUGUGGGCAGCUGGUUGUAGAAUUCUCACCAUGAUCAUGGCCAUCUCCUUUUAUUGAAAGAAGUGAGCCUUUUGUCCCUAGGGCUCCCUUCUCUCCAUUCUCUUCUCCUUAUAUAAUGAUGGUGACCUUUUGGAGCCUCUGACAGACCAAGAAGACCUCCACAGGUUAUCUCAUUUACAAGGAUACAAGGUGGGCUCCUAGCUUAGGAGUUACUGGCAACUCCUAACUGCUGGGAGACUGAAAGUCCGUCUUCGUUAAGAGUACGAUUUCUGGUGGAUCGACCACACUCCAGUGGGAGGCAACCCAUCCAGACACAUACGGGCAGCACUAGUUGAACUCAGCGAGUUAAAGAGGAGAAAAGGGGAAUAGGAGGCACCAUCUCAGUAUUUUCACAGAGACUCGGAGAAACCAUGACCAAUCUAGGUGAGGCUUUGGUUCUAUCUUUGUGAGGAUUACUCCCAGGAGAUAGUCCAAGUCAUCAGCAUCGAAUUCUCACUUGGUCAGUGACUCAUCUAACAAGAACCUGGUAAAAAUUUCUCACCCCAUUGGACUGUACCCCUUUGUGGAAGAAAGACCAACGUUCAAUAGAAUCUUGGAGCACUAUCUAGGUCUGUAACUACGCCACCGAGUCUAAGGGGUUUCAUAUUUAGAACUUAAUCUUAGACAUCCUAAAAGCAAUCUGGUGUUAUUAAAGCAGAUUCUUGUCAGGUCAAGCUCAUUUAGUGACACGGUCACAUCCUAGGCUGAGAAGACUCCAGGGCUAAGACCCAUAUAGCCCUAUAGCUGCUACAAUUAAAUUGCUGGGGUCCCAGAGGACAAGAGCACUGAUGAUAUAUUUCCAUGAGGUAGG
ensembl:lncRNA LOC102546320 uncharacterized LOC102546320